rnacentral:rRNA from 1 species
UACAGAGGUCUCAAGCGUUGAUCGGAUUCAUUGGGCGUAAAGGGUGCGUAGGCGGCGCGGUAAGUCGGGUGUGAAAUCUUGGAGCUUAACUCCGAAACUGCAUUCGAUACUGCCGUGCUUGAGGACUGGAGAGGAGACUGGAAUUUACGGUGUAGCGGUGAAAUGCGUAGAUAUCGUAAGGAAGACCAGUGGCGAAGGCGGGUCUCUGGACAGUUCCUGACGCUGAGGCACGAAGGCCAGGGGAGCAAACGGG